UAGGGAAUCUUCGGCAAUGGACGAAAGUCUGACCGAGCAACGCCGCGUGAGUGAAGAAGGUUUUCGGAUCGUAAAACUCUGUUGUUAGAGAAGAACAAGGACGUUAGUAACUGAACGUCCCCUGACGGUAUCUAACCAGAAAGCCACGGCUAACUACGUGCCAGCAGCCGCGGUAAUACGUAGGUGGCAAGCGUUGUCCGGAUUUAUUGGGCGUAAAGCGAGCGCAGGCGGUUUAUUAAGUCUGAUGUGAAAGCGCCCGGCUCAACCAGGGAGGGUCAUUGGAAACUGGGCGACUUGAGUGCAGAAGAGGAGAGUGGAAUUCCAUGUGUAGCGGUGAAGUGCGUAGAUAUAUGGAGGAAAACCAGUGGCGAAGGCGGCUCGCUGGUCUGUAACUGACGCUGAGGCUCGAAAGCGUGGGGAGCAAACAGG
rnacentral:rRNA from 1 species